ACGUGGGGACGACCUCACCGCUCCAUCAUCAAUCGGGGACGGCCUCG
rnacentral:ncRNA from 1 species